rnacentral:rRNA from 1 species
AGCUCCAAUAGCGUAUAUUAAAGUUGUUGCAGUUAAAAAGCUCGUAGUUGAACUUUGGGUUUGGUUGGGUGGUCUUCCUUACGGUAGCACUACUCUGACUGAAUCUUUCCUUCUGGUGAACAAUUGUGCUUUUAAUUAAGUGCGAUUGGGACCCAGGACUUUUACUUUGAAAAAAUUAGAGUGUUUAAAGCAGGCUUACGCUUGAAUACAUUAGCAUGGAAUAAUAAAAUAGGACUUUGGUUUUAUUUUGUUGGUUUUCAAGACCGAAGUAAUGAUUAAUAGGGAUAGUUGGGGGCAUUGGUAUUUAGCCGUCAGAGGUGAAAUUCUUGGAUUGGCUAAAGACUAACUUCUGCGAAAGCAUUUGCCAAGGAUGUUUUCA